CAGGGAUUGCCUCAGUAACGGCGAGUGAAGCGGCAACAGCUCAAAUUUUAAAGCUGGCGUCCUCGACGUCCGCGUUGUAAUUUGGAGAGGCAUCUUCGGUUUGGGCGCCAGCCUAUGUUCCUUGGAACAGGACGUCACAGAGGGUGAGAAUCCCGUGCUUGGCUGGCUGUCCCUCUCCAUGUGAAGUGUCUUCGACGAGUCGAGUUGUUUGGGAAUGCAGCUCAAAAUGGGUGGUAAAUUUCAUCUAAAGCUAAAUAUUGGCGGGAGACCGAUAGCGCACAAGUAGAGUGAUCGAAAGAUGAAAAGCACUUUGAAAAUAGAGUUAAAAAGUACGUGAAAUUGUUGAAAGGGAAGCGCUUGAGACCAGACUCGGCCGGAGACGAUCAGCGGUCCUUUUGGGCCGUGCACUCGUCCUCGGUCGGGCCAGCAUCGGUUGAGACGGCGGGAUAAAGGUCCGGGGAAUGUGGCUCCUUUCGGGGAGUGUUAUAGCCCCGGGCGCAAUGCCGCCAGCCUCGACCGAGGACCGCGCUUUUUUGCUAGGAUGCUGGCGUAAUGGUCUUCAGCGACCCGUCUUGAAACACGGACCAAGGAGUCUAACAUCUAUGCGAGUGUUUGGGUGUCAAACCCUUGCGCGUAAUGAAAGUGAACGUGGGUGGGAACCCCUCGUCAGGGGGGCGCACCAUCGACCGAUCCUGAUGUCUUCGGAUGGAUUUGAGUAGGAGCAUAGCUGUUGGGACCCGAAAGAUGGUGAACUAUGCCUGAAUAGGGUGAAGCCAGAGGAAACUCUGGUGGAGGCUCGCAGCGGUUCUGACGUGCAAAUCGAUCGUCAAAUUUGGGUAUAGGGGCGAAAGACUAAUCGAACC
rnacentral:rRNA from 1 species